UGAGAGCAGAGAAGAGCAGAGGAGAAGAGCGUCUUUAUUCUAUUUUUUCUCUAAUUACACGUUGCUUUUGUUCACAUUGUGACUUCAUAAAUCUUAGUAAAAUAACCAGUGGUGUCUAGUGGAGGCCGUAUGUAACCAAAAGCAACUUUAUUUCCCAUUAUUUUAAUUGUAUUUUAAUUCACAAAAUAGUUUGUGUGUUCCUAGUGACUCACCUUAUAUGUCCUACGGGAGCCAUUGUACCUGCCUGCGCUAAACAGUUGUUUGCUUGCUCACGAACGUGAGGAGAGUUGUGGCUAAUACACAGAGCGGCUUAAAAAGAAUUUAGCUAGUCUCGUUCUUUCUACAUAACAGUAUUCCUUGAGUUUCCCGGCCGUAGCCUGCCUAGGCUAUAUGCCUGUGAUCGAAAUCAACACAGGCCGGUGGUAGCUGGUCCGCUACAGGAAGGUGAGAUGCCGGAGGUCCCUCCGCCACCGCUGGACAUCGGGGGGUCCCUGGUGUACAGCAUACGGGCCAUUCUGGACUCGAGACGCUGGGUGAGGGGCCUGCAGUACCUCGUGGACUGGGAGGGGUACAGUCUGGAGGAGAGGUGCCGGGUGCCAGUGGAGGAUGUCUUGGACCCAUCCAUGUUGAAGGAUUUCCAUCACCUCCGCCCGGAUCGCCCUGCGCCUCGCCCUCCGGGUCGCCCUCGAGGCCGGUGUUGGCGCGCUGCAGGAGCCGCGCAUCAGGGGGGGGUACUGUCACGACUCCCACCGAAGUUAGCGCCCCCUACUGCUCGGGUGGCGCUCGGCGGUCGUCGUCACCGGCCUACUAGCUGCCACUGAUUCCUUUUUGUUUUCCCCUUUCUGUUAUUGUUUGCACCUGUCCUUAGUUGGGUUGAUUAGCGGGGCUAUAUUAGCUAGUUGACCCGCCUGCUCUUUGUGCGGGAUUGUUUGUCUGUUCGUUGCUUUGUUACGCGCUGUAUUGUAUUUAGCGCUAGUGCGUGGGUUUAUGCUCACUGUGUUUUGUCCCCUGUGUUUGGGGCAGUUUGAUUUUUGUGUGCACUGAGUUCGCUAUUUGGGGUGGCAGGUGUUUUUGCUGUGUCGCUCAUUAAAAGCCAUCACCCGUA